GACAGAGGCCUCGGGCGUAGGCGGAAUCACUGGGCUUAAAGCGUGUGUAGGCGGGCCCGUAAGUGUCUUGUGAAAUCCCCGGGCUCAACCCGGGAACUGCGUCCGAAACUGGCAGGCUCGAAUUCGGGAGAGGGAUGCGGAAUUCCAGGUGUAGCGGUGAAAUGCGUAGAUAUCUGGAGGAACAUCGGUGGCGAAGGCGGCAUCCUGGACCGAUAUUGACGCUGAGGCGCGAAAGCCAGGGGAGCAAACGGG
rnacentral:rRNA from 1 species